ensembl:snRNA U5 U5 spliceosomal RNA
AUACUCUGGUUUCUCUUCAGAUCAUAUAAAUCUUUCGUCUUUUACUAAAGAUUCCCGUGGCUGGAGAAGCCAGGGACCUGGGACUUUCUUCAUGCAAUGCAUGUACCCUACAUAUAU